CCCGUUGAUCCUGCGGGAGGUUGCUGCUAUCGGGAUUCGACUUAGACAUGCAAGUCUUGGCGCAAGCCGGCGCAAGGCUCAGUAACACGUCGGUAAUCUGCCCUAUGGUCAAGGACACCCACGGGAAACUGUGGUUAAGCCUUGAUAGGAGAUUGUUUCUGGAAUGAUCUUUCUCUGAAACUCGUGCCAUAGGAUGAGCCGGCGGCUGAUUAGGCUGUUGGUGGUGUAAUGGACCACCAAACCGAUGAUCAGUACGGGCCAUGAGAGUGGUAGCCCGGAGAGGGACACUGAGAUACUGGUCCCAGCCCCACGGGGUGCAGCAGUUACGAAACCUUUACCAUGCACGCAAGUGUGAUAAGGGGAUCCCGAGUGCUUAUGCAAAGCAUAGGCUUUUGUUAAGUGUAAAUAGCUCAGCGAAUAAGUGGUGGGAAAGACUGGUGCCAGCCGCCGCGGUAACACCAGCGCCACGAGUGGCAAUCGCGAUUAUUGGGCCUAAAGCGUCCGUAGCCGGUCUAGCAAAUCCUUUGUGAAAUGGUUGCGCCUAACGCAACCGCUUGCAGGGGACACUACUAGACUUGAGACCGGGAGGAGCUAGAAGUAUUCUAGGGGGAUCGGUAAAAUGAAUUAAUCCCUGGAAGACUACCGAUGGCGAAGGCAUCUAGCCAGAACGGAUCUGACGGUGAGGGACGAAAGCUAGGGGAGCGAACCGGAUUAGAUACCCGAGUAGUCCUAGCAGUAAACGCUGCGAACAAGGUGUUGCGUAUCCUACGGGGAUAUGCAGUGUCGAAGAGAAGUCGUUAAGUUCGCCGCCUGGGAAGUACGGUCGCAAGGCUGAAACUUUAAGGAAUUGGCGGGGGAGCACCACAAGGGGUGCGGCGUGCGGUUUAAUCUAACUCAACGCAGAAAAUCUUACUAGAGGCGACGGCAGGAUGAAGGUCAGUCUGAAGGGCUUACCCAACAAGCCGAGAGGUGGUGCAUGGCCGCCGUCAGCUCGUGCUGUAAAGUGUCCUCUUAAGUGAGGCAACGAGCGAGAUCUGUAUCUACAAUUGCUAACAGCUUUGUUAAGGACUGAGCACAUUGUAGAGACUGCCCGGGAAACCGGGAGGAAGGUGCAGGCUACGGUAGGUCUGUAUGCCCCGAAUCCUCUAGGCUACACGCGCGCAACAAUGGCAGCGACAAUGGGCUUCGACGCCGAAAGGCGAAGCUAAUCCUCGAAACGCUGUCUUAGUCUAGAUUGAGGGUUGCAACUCACCCUCAUGACAUUGGAAUCCCUAGUAAUCAGAAGUCAUCAUCUUCUGGUGAAUAUGUCCCUGCUCCUUCACACACCGCCCGUCAAAUCACCCGAGCAGGGUUUAGGUGAACCUUAUGUUAAGUAAGGUGAAUCUAAGCUCAGUGAGGGGGGUUAAGUCGUCACAAGGUA
rnacentral:rRNA from 1 species